CGCCGAGCCCCGGGCCUGGGCUGAGGCCGCAGGAGACGCCGGGCGCGCCUUUCCUCGCCCGGGGGCGGGCACCGUCCGCGGACCACCGCCCCGAACUCUUGGCCCGGCGCCGGCCUCCUUCCCGCCGGGGCGGGAGCGCGGCCUCCGCAGCCCUGGCCCCAAAGGCACCGGGUCCUGGGAGGGGCCGGGUGGGCGAGGGAGAAGAGCUCCCGCGCGAGAAGGCCUUAGAACGGGGCCUGGCACCGAGGAAGCGCUCAAUAAAUGACCCGACCUUUGGAAGAGGCGCAGAGCUCCUGAGGUGAGGUUUUGCCUUGACCAACGCAGUUGAAUGGAUUCACGUUCAAAAUAGAUGGUUACCUGGAAUAAGGACUACAUUUACCAGCCUUCCUGCAACUAGACAUGCCAUAUGGUAAACUCUGACCAAUGGGAUGUAAGCAGAAGUGGGCAUUUUGGCUGUGGUGCUGAUCAUGGGCUUCUUCCAGAAAUUUGUGACAGGUGGCAUCUCUGAGAAUGAAUGGAAAAGACUGUGCUCCAGACCAAAGCUGUAAGCAGUAGCUACUCUGUCCACAACCUCCAUCUGGGAAAAAUCACUUAGACAAAGGAUCUUUUAUGGAGAAGAUAAUCUACUUCCAUUGGCAGCCCUUGAUGAGCAAGCCACCAGGUGGAACCAGUAAAACGUGAAGGACUGAAGCCGAUUGGUCAAGAGAUGGACGCCUUAUUCGAAGGGAGUCAAUCCACCAACAGGUCCGCUAUUUGUGGGUUUUGUGGCCAAGUUGGGAAAGAUGAGCUUGACCUAACAUAUUCUCCUCUCAAGAAAUAACACACCUUGUCCAAUCCAAGGUAGCCAAUUGAAUGGAAACGCUGUGAAGUAUCACGGCUGGGGCAGGAUGUUUGCCGGCAUGUGCAAG
rnacentral:lncRNA from 1 species